GGGGCCGGGGCGGCGGCGGAGCCCGAGCCGCGGCGGCGCCUGGAGAUCGUCUUCGUGUCCUCGGACCAGGACCAGCGGCAGUGGCAGGACUUCGUGCGGGACAUGCCGUGGCUGGCGCUGCCCUACAAGGAGAAGCACAGGAAGGCUGAGUUCGCGGCCACCGGGGAGCUUUGCAUUGUCUGGCCGUCCAGCCUCCUCCCCAGACGCCUCCCGGGCGCGGGAACAGCCCGGGCUGUGCAGAGCUCAGCUGCGUGGUGGCCCCUGUGGUCCCGGGGUCUUCGAGUUAAGGGCUGAGCUGACCCCAUCGAUGCACAUUGACUGGAAGAAGGAGGAUUUGGGGAAAUGGAUACUUUGCUGUCAACUUCUCGUGUCUCCCAGUUUGCUGCCGAGUUGAGUUUGGGUUUCUGAGUGUGUCCCUUGGGUGAGGAUGUCUGUCUCUGUGAUAAUAAAGCACAUCCAGGACAUUUUGUAAUGAA
rnacentral:lncRNA from 10 species